rnacentral:misc_RNA from 1 species
AAAAAAAAAAAAGAGUAUGUUGUAUGGGUGAUAUUUCUUCUGCUAGCAGUUAAUGUUGUCCGUGCAUCCAAGUUCAUGAGCACAUGAAAGUGGCAGUCAAGAAAGUUACAAUCACAUAUAGGUUGAGUUACAAGAGAAUAACAUUAAUUUGUGCUCCAAAUUGACCCUUUCCUUAUGCAUGUAUAAAGGCCUAGGCACAGCCUCCAUCUUCUUGAGCUUUAGUAAGUCAAUGUUCUAAACCGGGACUCUACUUGUUUUGAACUAAUGCCAGAAGAUUAAAGUUUCUUGGACAAAAAAUUAUUUUGAAGCAUUCAUGCAUUAGUGAGAAGAGGGGAGCCAACCACAGUACGUGGUGUCUCUCACUU